AUGCUGUGUGUCCUUAGACACGUGUGUGCCCUCUCUGGGCUGCGGGGAGCAAAUCCGUGCCCACUGCCAGGAUAUCAAGGGUGUGCAAACGGCCACGCACAUGACCAGGAUUCCCUGAAAAGGCCUCGCUGGCAUCCCGUUCCCGGUACGUGGACUCACGGAGGGUUGGUGUGGGGUCCUCGGGCGGAACGGCCGGGCAGACCUGGGGGUGGCCUCCCAGGAGGGCGAGCUAGGCCCCCACAGUCAGGAGUCACUUCCUGGAUGGCCCAUGAGCAUCCCUGGGUCCUACGGGAGGAGCAUGACCCGGGGAAGAGAGCCCAGCGCGGGGAGGUUUUGAUCAGACAGACAGACGUGGCUUCGGAAGACUCCCCAGCAGCUGUCUUCCUGCUGCCCUAUCACCUGGAUCGGCUUCUGAGUCCCCAAACCCUGCUGGGUGGGCUUCUCCCCUCCGUCGUUGACAGAGACGCCGAGCGGGUAGGUUAAACACCCCCUCAAAGCCGCAGAGCCAGCAAGGGGCCAGGGUCCUAGGCCCGUCAGUGUGACCCUAGAGCCUGUGCCCCUCAGGGCACCCCGGGGAGGGGGACUGUAAGGGGCAGGGCCACGCCAGGGUCACCUCUGUGCCUGGCCCGGCCCAAAGGUAAGCACAGG
rnacentral:lncRNA from 1 species